CAGCCGUAAACUAUGCGCGUUAGGUGUAUCGGUGACCACGAGUCACCGAGGUGCCGAAGGGAAACCGUGAAACGUGCCGCCUGGGAAGUACGGUCGCAAGGCUGAAACUUAAAGGAAUUGGCGGGGGGAGCACCACAACGGGUGGAGCCUGCGGUUUAAUUGGACUCAACGCCGGGAAGCUCACCGGAUAAGACAGCGGAAUGAUUGCCGGGCUGAAGACCCUGCAUGACUAGCUGAGAGGAGGUGCAUGGCGUAGACGUCU
rnacentral:rRNA from 1 species